GGGCGUAAAGGGCUCGCAGGCGGUUUCUUAAGUCUGAUGUGAAAGCCCCCGGCUCAACCGGGGAGGGUCAUUGGAAACUGGGGAACUUGAGUGCAGAAGAGGAGAGUGGAAUUCCACGUGUAGCGGUGAAAUGCGUAGAGAUGUGGAGGAACACCAGUGGCGAAGGCGACUCUCUGGUCUGUAACUGACGCUGAGGAGCGAAAGCGUGGGGAGCGAACAGGAUUAGAUACCCUGGUAGUCCACGCCGUAAACGAUGAGUGCUAAGUGUUAGGGGGUUUCCGCCCCUUAGUGCUGCAGCUA
rnacentral:rRNA from 1 species